AUUGAAUAGUUAGUUGAAUUUGGUUUUUGAGUUAAAAUUCUUAGAUAUUUUUAUGGGACGAGAAGACCCUAUAGAGUUUUACAUUUAAUUUAUUUAAUUUAUUGUUUGUUUUGUUUAUACUGAUUAAUUUAAGUGUUUUGUUGGGGUGAUGGGAGGAAUUUAUCUAACUCCUCUUUAUUUGUUAUAUUUAUAUAUAAUUGUUUUUGAUCCAUUUAUUUUGAUUAUAAGAUUAAAUUACCUUAGGGAUAACAGCGUUAUCUUCCUUGAGAGUUCUUAUUGGCGGGAAGGUUUGCGACCUCGAUGUUGGAUUAAGGUGAAUUUUCGGUGUAGGAGCUGAAAGUGGUUGGGUCUGUUCGACCUUUAAAAUCUUACAUGAUCUGAGUUCAGACCGGCGUGAGCCAGGUUGGUUUCUAUCUAUAAUAGUUUUUUAUAUCUUAGUACGAGAGGACCGGAUAU
rnacentral:rRNA from 1 species